rnacentral:rRNA from 1 species
GCUAAGGUAGCGCAAUCAAUUGGCUUUUAAUUGAAGCCAUGUAUGAAUGGAAUCACGGGGUUUAGCUGUCUCUUAACUAAUUUAUCGAAGUUACUAUUUAGGUGAAAAAGCCUGAAGAAAGAAAAAGGACGAGAAGACCCUUAGAGUUUUUCUAAAAUUAGGAUUAUUCCUAAAACAGUUUAGUUGGGGCAACAUAGGAGCAUAUUUAACCUCCUGUAAUAUACUUACCGAUAAUAAUAAAUAUGAAUAAACUACCUUAGGGAUAACAGCAUAAUUUUAUAAAUAAGUUUGUGACCU